rnacentral:rRNA from 1 species
UCGAGCGGAGUGAUGGUGCUUGCACUAUCACUUAGCGGCGGACGGGUGAGUAAUGCUUAGGAAUCUGCCUAUUAGUGGGGGACAACAUCUCGAAAGGGAUGCUAAUACCGCAUACGUCCUACGGGAGAAAGCAGGGGAUCACUUGUGACCUUGCGCUAAUAGAUGAGCCUAAGUCGGAUUAGCUAGUUGGUGGGGUAAAGGCCUACCAAGGCGACGAUCUGUAGCGGGUCUGAGAGGAUGAUCCGCCACACUGGGACUGAGACACGGCCCAGACUCCUACGGGAGGCAGCAGUGGGGAAUAUUGGACAAUGGGGGGAACCCUGAUCCNGCCAUGCCGCGUGUGUGAAGAAGGCCUUAUGGUUGUAAAGCACUUUAAGCGAGGAGGAGGCUCUUUUGGUUAAUACCCAAGAUGAGUGGACGUUACUCGCANAANAAGCACCGGCUAACUCUGUGCCAGCAGCCGCGGUAAUACAGAGGGUGCAAGCGUUAAUCGGAUUUACUGGGCGUAAAGCGCGCGUAGGCGGCCAAUUAAGUCAAAUGUGAAAUCCCCGAGCUUAACUUGGGAAUUGCAUUCGAUACUGGUUGGCUAGAGUGUGGGAGAGGAUGGUAGAAUUCCAGGUGUAGCGGUGAAAUGCGUAGAGAUCUGGA